UACGUAGGGUGCAAGCGUUAUCCGGAAUUAUUGGGCGUAAAGAGCUCGUAGGCGGUCUGUCGCGUCGGCUGUGAAAUCCCGAGGCUCAACCUCGGGUCUGCAGUCGAUACGGGCAAACUAGAGUAUUGCAGGGGAGACUGGAAUUCCUGGUGUAGCGGUGAAAUGCGCAGAUAUCAGGAGGAACACCGGUGGCGAAGGCGGUUCUCUGGGCAUUACCUGACGCUGAGGAGCGAAAGUGUGGGGAGCGAACAGG
rnacentral:rRNA from 1 species